CACUUAACUGAGCCACCCACGUGCCCCGGUUUGGGACAUUUGUGGACCAUUUUUGUGGCCUGUAGUGUCUUUCAUCCUAAAAAAAAGUCCUGUGAAGCAGCCCUUCUCUACAUUUGAUAGAGAAAAUUGAAAUUCAUAGUGGUUCAGUGACUUGCGUGAGGUUGCACAGUUAGUUCACAGAACCAGAAUUUUAAUUUGAGCCUUUAACUCUUUAAGUCUGGUUUUCUGUGGUUUCAGUGAAAUUUUUAAACAAAUGCUAGUGCCCAGGCGUCUGCAGCAGUGAUGGAAGGGUGAAGGGAUAUUUCCGAUUUCCAAGGUCACUUUUAGCUUGCUUUCCAUGUACCAAGAACCAAGUAUCAGCAUCACCAAGGCUCUGUUUUUAUUGAGAUAUUAUUGAUACUAGUUUCAGGUAACAAUUCAAUAUUGUAAGUAUUGCAGAAUGGUCCAUCCAUUUUUCUUGUGAUGAGAGCUUUUAAGAUCUACGCUCUUGGCAGGUUUCUGAUACACAAUAAUACAGUAUUAACUAUAGUCACCAGGCUGUAUAUUACAUCCCCAGGACUUAUUUUGGCUUUGUUUUUUUUUUUUAAGUGGUGAUUUGGCCUGGUCAGGAGUUUGGGUGCAUUCCUUUCCCCUGUGAACUUGAGCCAGCUGGGAGAGGGCUUGCUUGACUGAUCCACUCAACCUGGGCAGAGAAGGGGGAAGAAAGCAGAGAUGUCGGGGUCUGCUCCCAUGAAGCUUGGAGGUGAGGGCCGUGGCCACCACACCUGAGGGCACGAACUGCACGAUGUCACGGGCCGCCUCCUCCCCGGUGUGCGAGCGCAGCGUGCGGCUGUCCCCGUCCAGGAACUCCAUGGCGGCGAAGUCAGCGUUGCCCACGCCCACGAUGAUGAUGGACAUGGGCAGCUUGGAAGCCUGCACCACGGCGUGGCGCGUCUCCUCCAUGUCACUGAUGACGCCGUCCGUGAUGAUGAGGAGGAUGAAGUACUGCUGCAGGGAAGAGGCAGCCAGGUGCUCUGAAGUCUCUGGCCCCCCUUCCCCGGCCUCCCAAAACCUUCUGACCCCUGGGAGGACAGCUCUUCAUGCCCAGCUGCCGCCAAAUCCCAGCCCCAGCCCGCAGCACCCCACCCCUGCAGGCCUCUGGCCAUCCAAACCCUGACCUGGUCCCAGCCCGAGGCACAAACUGCCCUCUUCCCCCUGCCCUGGCUGUGACCUUAGACACCGCAGCUCAGUGCCAGGGCCCCGAACUCCAGGCCUGGACCUCCGGUUGCUCUGCUGUGGGGCUCGGGGCAGCUGGCUGACGUUGCCGCGCCUCCGCUUCGUCAUCUGCACGGUGGCAGUUGCUGUACCACAGCGGAGCUCUGUGCCCGAGAACUGCAUUCCUGGCGGACAGGCCCAUGGCCGGGGAGGGAGGCGCAUCCUGGCCGACCCGGCCCAGCCUCGCCUUCUCCGGCCCAGCCUCGCCUUCUCCGCCCCGCACAGAUCCCUGCAAGCUGCUCCUUCCCCAGCUGCAGGGCUGGCCUCUGAGACAGGCUGCCUGGCACACAGGCCGGUGCUUCUGGGCACACAGCCUCAAGGCACAGGGUUACUUCUGCAGCGGUCUUUCACUUCCGCGGACGGUACCCAGGAGGGAGUCUCGGGUCGGUUCUAGUGGGCCUUUAACGCCUCUCAUGUGCUCACCUUCCUUAUUAACAGAGGCGGGAAGCGCAGAGCUUCAGGGGACAACAGUUUCUAGCUAGACUUCAAUACCAGGUACAAUUUAUUUUUCCCGUUACUCUCUAUAUAUGGCAAGCGGUAACUUUUCACUUACGGUGGGCUAUACAGUUUCCUUAUAAAAUUACUUAAAAAUACUGAUUAGCAUGGGCAUGUAUGGCCAUAGCAUGGACUGUGAACGGGACAUGGUGGGCACAUGAGGUUCAGGAAGGCUCCCUAGAUGGCCUGGGCAGAGGCCCCAGAAUACCAAGCCAGCUGACACCUUAGUGUCAGCUCUGUCCUUAGCACCCUCUGGCCCCUUUUUAAGGAACCUGGUUUGCCCCAUCUGUAAAAUAAACAGAAAAGCCCUA